rnacentral:rRNA from 1 species
GACGAACGCUGGCGGCGUGCCUAAUACAUGCAAGUUGAGCGAUGAAGAUUGGUGCUUGCACCAAUUUGAAGAGCAGCGAACGGGUGAGUAACGCGUGGGGAAUCUGCCUUUGAGCGGGGGACAACAUUUGGAAACGAAUGCUAAUACCGCAUAACAACUUUAAACAUAAGUUUUAAGUUUGAAAGAUGCAAUUGCAUCACUCAAAGAUGAUCCCGCGUUGUAUUAGCUAGUUGGUGAGGUAAAGGCUCACCAAGGCGAUGAUACAUAGCCGACCUGAGAGGGUGAUCGGCCACAUUGGGACUGAGACACGGCCCAAACGCCUACGGGAGGCAGCAGUAGGGGAUCUUCGGCAAUGGACGAAAGUCUGACCGAGCAACGCCGCGUGAGUGAAGAAGGUUUUCGGAUCGUAAAACUCUGUUGGUAGAGAAGAACGUUGGUGAGAGUGGAAAGCUCAUCAAGUGACGGUAACUACUCAGAAAGGGACGGCUAACUACGUG